rfam:Picea glauca, whole genome shotgun sequence.
GGUAAAUGACGGGAGUAACUAUGACUCUCUUAAGGUAGCCAAAUGCCUCGUCAUCUAAUUAGUGAUGCACAUGAAUGGAUUAACGAGAUUCCCACUGUCCCUAUCUACGAUCUAGCAAAACCACAGCCAAGGGAACGCGCUUGGUGGAAUUAGCGGGGAAAGAAGACCCUGUUGAGAUUGACUCUAGUCCAACUUUGUGAAAUGACUUGAGAGGUGUAGAAUAAGUGGGAGCCAUUUUUUAUGCAAGUGAAAUACCACUACUUUUAACAUCAUUUUACUUAUUCCGUGGGGCGGAGACGGGGCAUUGCCCCUGUUUUUGGCCUUAAGACACGUUUCGACAGGUCGAUCCAGGUGGAAGACAUUGUCAGGUGGGGAGUUUGGCUGGGGUGGCACAUCGCACUUGGUUGAAAAGCUAGUACGAGAGGAACCACUGAUUCACACAAUUGGUCAUCACACUUGGUUGAAAAGACAGUGGCGCGAAGCUACCGUUUGUCAGAUUAUGACUGAACGCCUCUAAGUCAGAAUCCAUGCUAGAAGCGGUGCUUAUCAUUCCUCGACUGUAUCUUGACCCGCAUUAGGGGUGUCACUUCGGCACCCCUAGGGGCCCGUGUCACUUGCAAACCUUGGUUGGGAAGCGUAACGGUCGGGGAAACUUUGAACCUCAAUUUCCAAUGGUCGUUGAGAAGAAUCCUUUGCAGACGACUUAAAUAAGUGACGGGGUAUUGUAAGUGGAAAAGUGGCCUUGUUGCCACGAUCCACUGAGAUUCAUCCCUUCAUCACCUCGAUUCAG